GCGAACGGGUGAGUAACACGUUGGAACCUGCCCCGAACUCAGGGAUAGCCAUCCGAAAGGAUGAUUAAUACCGGAUAGUCCCGAAAGGGUAAAGAUUUUUCGGUUCGGGAGGGGCCUGCGGCCUAUCAGCUUGUUGGUGAGGUAAAAGCUUACCAAGGCUAUGACGGGUAUCUGGUGUGAGAGCAUGACCAGACACAAUGGAACUGAGACACGGUCCAUACUCCUACGGGAGGCAGCAGUGGGGAAUCUUCCGCAAUGGGCGAAAGCCUGACGGAGCGACACCGCGUGGAGGAAGAAGGCCUUUUGGUUGUAAACUCCUUUUCUGGGGGAAUAAAUGAUGAAGGUACCCCAGGAAUAAGCACCGGCUAACUACGUGCCAGCAGCCGCGGUAAUACGUAGGGUGCAAGCGUUAUCCGGAAUUAUUGGGCGUAAAGCGUUCGUAGGUGGCUUGGAAAGUUUGUAAUUAAAUCUGGUCGCUCAACGAUCAAAUUGUCACAAAAACUUCCAAACUUGAGAUUGACAGAGGCAACUGGAAUUCCACAUGUAGGGGUAAAAUCCGUUGAUAUGUGGAGGAACACCAAAAGCGAAGGCAGGUUGCUGGGUCAUUUCUGACACUGAGGAACGAAAGCGUGGGUAGCGAACAGGAUUAGAUACCCUGGUAGUCCACGCCGUAAACGAUGGAUACUCGAUGUAGAGAGGAUUCGACCCCUCUCUGUGUCUAAGCUAACGCGUUAAGUAUCCCGCCUGGGGAGUACGGUCG
rnacentral:rRNA from 1 species